rnacentral:tRNA from 1 species
GCCGGCGUGGCGAAACUGGCAAGACGCAGGGGUCAUUGCGAAGCCCCGUUCACCACCCGGACAGGGCUUCGCCUCCAUCCCUAAGGACUUCGGUCCAUGCGGGUUCGAAUCCCGCCGCCGGCACCA